ACUCAAAUGAAUUGACGGGGGCCCGCACAAGCGGCGGAGCGUGUGGUUUAAUUCGAUGCAACGCGAAGAACCUUACCAAGGCUUGACAUACUAGUGGUACGGAUCUGAAAGGUGAAGGACCCUUCGGGGAGCUAGUACAGGUGCUGCAUGGCUGUCGUCAGCUCGUGCCGUGAGGUGUUGGGUUAAGUCCCGCAACGAGCGCAACCCUCGCUGUUAGUUAAAUAUUUCUAACGGGACCGCUGGGAUAAACCCAGAGGAAGGUGGGGAUGACGUCAAGUCAGCAUGGCCCUUACGCUUUGGGCUACACACACGCUACAAUGGCCGGUACAAUGGGCUGCCAAGGCGCGAGCCGGAGCUAAUCCCUUAAAGCCGGCCCCAGUUCAGAUUGCAGGCUGCAACUCGCCUGCAUGAAGGCGGAGUCGCUAGUAAACGCAGGUCAGCAGUACUGCGUUGAAUACGUUCCCGGGCCUUGUACACACCGCCCGU
rnacentral:rRNA from 1 species